AGCCAUUUUAUUUCUACGAAAUUACCUUCCAAAAAGCUAUGACAUAAUGUCACAAAAUGAAUUCAGAAGCAUCACAACACACCAAAAGACAAGGUGAAAUAAUUGUUUAACUCAAAACUUAGAAAGAAGGCCAGUCUAAGAGAUCUACUGCACCAGGGUGGAAGUGGAACACAGUGUGCCAGAGCAAGCCCUAGGAAGCUGACCAGUAUUUCAAUGGGAAACAUGGGCCUGCUUUUGGCUAAUGAGAUGGUCAAUGUUUCAUUUUUGUCACUGCUAACCAUAACAAGUGAUGCAAGUGUGCAACAGUUAAUCUAGAUCUGGUUGGAGAUUUCAGAUAUUUCAUUCUGGAAAAUGUCUGUUCACAGAAAUAAGUGCUGCCACAGAUGGUUGCCAUUUUGAGUGAAAGGUUCCUGAGAUUAGGGUAUGUCUCAUGCAUCCUGUGCUCCUUUCACUGACCACCAAUGAACUACAUGCCCCUUCAGGAAGUGGGGACCAGAUAAAUGGCCUCAGGGGUCCUCAUGGGGCCUGAGGGCAGUAGUUUGGAGACCCCAAAUUAGAAUGAUCAGAAAAGCAUACCAUAGAAGAUUUUAAAUGAGCUGAGCCUUGAAAGAAGCUAAUGAUUUUAAGUUGUUCAGGUGAGGGAUUGUCUUCCAAAACAGGGGCAGGCUAUACAAAGGCAUUGAGGUGGGAAAUGGGAUGCUGAAUCUGGAAAGACAAACUGGUUAGUUCGGCCAGAAAGUAAAGAAUGGGAAGGAGAGUAAUGUGAAUAGACCUGGAAAGGAAAGUUGAAAUCAUCAUGGGAAGAUUUUAAAUGCUCAGCUUAGGAGUUUUAAUCUUGUUCUAAAACAGGGAUUCUUAACCUGGCUUGUUUAAUAUUUUGAUAACUGUAUUUCAACAUAAUUGGUUUCUUUUGUAAUCCUAUAUCUUUUACACAUUGGAAAAAUAUUUUUCUGAGAAGGGGUUUAUAGACUUCACCAGAUUAAUGAAAGCUGUGACAUACAACAAAGGUUAAGAACAUCUGUUCUAAUGGCAAUAGAUUCUUAAAGGUUUUCUAGUAGUGAUAAGGUCAGAUUUUUGCUUUGAGAAAAUAUGUUGGCAGUUUGGAGAAUGAAUUGGAGAAGGGAGAGACCAGGAACUAGGAGUUCAGGUACAAGGCUGCUAGUAUUAAAGGUGAGGAUGGCCAAGAUAGGGUGUUGGCUUUGGAAGAGGAGAGAUUUGAGAGUAUUGUAGAAGUAGAAUAAGUAAUUUUUGGCAACCUCUUGAUUGACAGCUAUGCCACUGAUAUUUAUUUCUCAGAGCUAACCAAUAUGCCAUACCCAGAGUCAGGACCUCCUACAAGUAUGUAGAAUUAUAUAUUACAAUUAUUAUUACAAUAAUAACAAAAAUAAAUGUUAUAAUUACAGUAGAAGUCUGAACCUCUUUUGCACAAGAGGAAAAUGGGACUUGGUGCUUGCUAAAACAUGAAUACUCAUAAAGAUUUUUUCUCCUUUCUUCCCUCCCUCCUUCCCUCUUCCCUUUCUUUUUUCAUAGAAUUUCAAGAGUUAGAAGGCACCUUUUUAAUAGAUGCUAAUACUAGGAGAUUUAUGGUAAUAGGACAGGGACAGCAGGAAACCAGCUAGGGACAAGGCUGGAUCUUAUACUCCACCCCCCACCCCCACUACUUCCUGUCUCUUUCUUAACUGAAUCUAAAGGCUCUUCUCAAAAAUGAUCUCAAGGGCUUCUGGUAUGACGUAUUUGUGACCAAGAGGACCAGCUGCUCCAUCCCACUUAGGAGUCUGAACAAGAGUCUGGCACAACUCCAAGGCAAGACCUGAGAUGAGGAUGCUGGGAACCUUCUCAAAGGGACAAAGCACCAAGGCUAAAGCCUCCUAUAGGCUCCAGGUGGCUCACAGACAGCUGGCUGAAAUAGAUGAGCAUUUUGGCUGCAGUGCAGAAAUCCAGAGCUGCUGGAUGCUCUCCAUUUUUCAAAUAGGGAUUUGUAUCACUUUCAAUACAUUAAUGCUCAAGGCAUUCAAUGGUACAGUCACAUGGGACUACCCAUCAUUUCUUAGAAAUGUCUCAUUUCUUUCUUCUCUGUAAGUAAAUUCUGUAUCCCUGCAUCUCUGCUUGUCGGAAUCCUUCCUACACUAUGAAGCCCAGCUCAAACAUGGUCUCUUCCAUGAUAUAAUGCCCAUCCCAUCAGAAACCACUUUUAAAAUCCAUUGAACUCUUAUACUCCCUCCCUUAAGUACUUAGCAUAUUAUACAUUCAUGUAGAUAUUUAUCCCACUUCCUAGACCAUAAAGAUGUCAGAUUCUUCUUAAUGGCCUGAAGGUUAUGUUGAAAAAAUUCUUGAAAAUUUUGUUAUUUGAGUAUAAGCUUUGGGAUGUCUAACUAAGGCAGAAAGACCAAAUAACAUACUGACUAUUAUUAUCUAGCUAAGUUUGAGAAGUUCUUUAUUAUGUUCAGCAAUUUUGACAAAUGUUGAUUAAGAAUACUCUUUUCUUUCACUCUACUGCAAAUAUGAAUAACAUGGAAAUAGGUUUUGAUCAAUGAUACAUGUAUAACCUGGUGGAAUUGCUUGUUAGCUUCAGGAAGGGGGAGGAAAGAGCAGGGGGGGAAUCAUGAAUCAUGUAACCAUGGAAAAAUAUUCUAAAUAAGAAAAAAACUAAAAAAAAAGAAUAUUCUUUUCUCAUGAGGGGAUGUUCUUCAAGGGGAAUGGCUGAAAAAAUUGUGGUCUAUGAUGCUGAUGGAAUACUAUUGUGCUAUAAGGAAUGGUGAAAUGAUGGACUUCUAUAAGAACUUCCAGAUCUACAUGAACUGAUGCUCAGUGAAAUAAUCAGAACCCAGAGAACAUUAUGCAUGGAGACUAUAACAUAGUGGGAUGAUCAAAUGUAAUUGACUUUGCUACUAAAAGCAAUGCAAUGAUCCAGGACAAUUCAGUAGAACUUAUGAGAAAGCAUGCUAUCCACAUCUAGAGAAAGAACUGUGGGAAUAGAAAUCCAGAAGAAAACAUGUGAUAUCAUUUGUUUAUAUGGGUAUGUGAUUUGGGUUUUGGUUUUAAAAGAUUAUUAUAAAAAUGAAUAAUAUGGAA